rnacentral:tRNA from 1 species
UCGGAUAUGGUGUAACGGCUAACAUUUGCGCCUCUCACGCGCAAGCUCGGGGUUCGACUCCCCGUAUCUGAA